GAGGCUAUAGCUUAAGUGCUAGAGCACAUGCUUAGUAUGCACAAGGUCCUGGGUUCAAUCCCCAGUACCUCCU
rfam:Camelus ferus unplaced genomic scaffold scaffold1103, whole genome shotgun sequence.